rnacentral:rRNA from 1 species
GUCCUACGGGACGCAGCAGUGAGGAAUAUUGGUCAAUGGGAGAGAUCCUGAACCAGCCAAGCCGCGUGAGGGAUGAAGGUACAGAGUAUCGUAAACCUCUUUUGUCAGGGAACAAAGGCGGGGACGUGUCCCCGGAUGAAUGUACCUGAAGAAAAAGCCUCGGCUAACUCCGUGCCAGCAGCCGCGGUAAUACAGAGGAUGCGAGCGUUAUCCGGAUUUAUUGGGUUUAGAGGGUGCGCAG